GUUUUUAUAGUUGAAUAACAACGUUGGUUUUUCAUGCCAGAGGGUCUAGUGGUACGUGCUAGUAAAAAUG
rnacentral:tRNA from 1 species